AGAGUUUGAUCCUGGCCCAGGAUGAACGCUAGCGGCAGGCUUAAUACAUGCAAGGCGAGGGGGCAGCAAUGUCACCGUCGUACGGGUGCGUAACGCGUAUGCAACCUACCUUCAACUGGGGGAUAGCCCGGGGAAACCCGGAUUAAUACCGCAUAAUACAUUUGUAUGGCAUUAUACAAUUUGUUAAAGAUUUAUUGGUUGAAGAUGGGCAUGCGUUCGAUUAGCUAGUUGGCAGGGUAACGGCCUACCAAGGCGACGAUCGAUAGGGGAGCUGAGAGGUUGAUCCCCCACACGGGCACUGAGAUACGGGCCCGACUCCUACGGGAGGCAGCAGUAGGGAAUAUUGGGCAAUGGAUGCAAGUCUGACCCAGCCAUGCCGCGUGCCGGAUGAAGCCCUCAGGGUUGUAAACGGCUUUUAUUCGGGAAGAAGAGCAGGGAUGCGUCCUUGUGUGACGGUACCGAAUGAAUAAGCACCGGCUAACUCCGUGCCAGCAGCCGCGGUAAUACGGAGGGUGCGAGCGUUGUUCGGAUUUGUUGGGAUUAAAGGGUGCGUAGGUGGCUUGUUAAGUCAGUGGUGAAAUACAGCCGCUCAACGGUUGAGGUGCCAUUGAUACUGUCAAGCUUGAAACAAGUGGAGGCUGCCGGAAUGGAUGGUGUAGCGGUGAAAUGCAUAGAUAUCAUCCAGAACACCGAUUGCGAAGGCAGGUGGCUACGUUUGAUUUGACACUGAGGCACGAAAGCAUGGGGAGCAAACAGGAUUAGAUACCCUGGUAGUCCACGCCGUAAACGAUGAUAACUAGCUGUCGGGGGUCAUGGACUUUCGGUGGCGCAGCUAACGCAUUAAGUUAUCCGCCUGGGGAGUACGGCCGCAAGGUUAAAACCCAAAGAAAUUGACGGGGGCCUGCACAAGCGGUGGAGCAUGUGGUUUAAUUCGAAGCAACGCGCAGAACCUUACCAGCGUUUGACAUCCUCAUCGCGGAUUUCAGAGAUGAUUUCCUUCAGUUCGGCUGGAUGAGUGACAGGUGCUGCAUGGCUGUCGUCAGCUCGUGUCGUGAGAUGUUGGGUUAAGUCCCGCAACGAGCGCAACCCUCGUCUUUAGUUGCCAUCAUUUAGUUGGGCACUCUAAAGAAACCGCCGGUGAUAAGCCGGAGGAAGGUGGGGAUGACGUCAAGUCCUCAUGGCCCUUACACGCUGGGCUACACACGUGCUACAAUGGCGGUGACAACGGGUUGCUACCUCGCGAGAGGAUGCUAAUCCCAAAAAGCCGCCUCAGUUCGGAUUGUUCUCUGCAACUCGAGAGCAUGAAGGCGGAAUCGCUAGUAAUCGCGGAUCAGCAUGCCGCGGUGAAUACGUUCCCAGGCCUUGUACACACCGCCCGUCACACCAUGGGAGUUGGAUUCACCCGAAGGCGUUGCGCUAACCCGUAAGGGAGGCAGGCGACCACGGUGGGUUUAGCGACUGGGGUGAAGUCGUAACAAGGUA
rnacentral:rRNA from 1 species